rnacentral:rRNA from 1 species
AUCACGGAGAGUUUGAUCCUGGCUCAGAACGAACGCUGGCGGCGCGUUUUAAGCAUGCAAGUCGAGCGGCAAGGCUCCUUCGGGAGCCCUAGA